rnacentral:misc_RNA from 1 species
GACUCCAGUCAAGCUUAAAGAACCUUAAUGUACAUAUCAUUAACUUCAAAAGUGUGUUCAUGCAUGUGCACCCGGCCAAUGAAAAUAUGAUAGCCUAUGCAAUUAUAAAGAAAAACCAAGUGAUCACAACUUGUUAAAUGCAAAAAUUCAUAAAAUAAAUGCAUAUGGUUUCAUAGAUUUUUGGUAAGCUAACUAAAAUAUUAAAACAAUAAAGCAUUUCAAAGCA